rnacentral:rRNA from 1 species
AUUGAACGCUGGCGGCAGGCCUAACACAUGCAAGUCGAGCGGAUGAAGGGAGCUUGCUCCUGGAUUCAGCGGCGGACGGGUGAGUAAUGCCUAGGAAUCUGCCUGGUAGUUGGGGAUAACGUCCGGAAACGGGCGCUAAUACCACAUACGUCCUGAGGUAGAAAGUGGGGGAUCUUCGGACCUCACGCUAUCAGAUGAGCCUAGGUCGGAUUAGCUAGUUGGUGGGGUAAAGGCCUACCAAGGCGACGAUCCGUAACUGGUCUGAGAGGAUGAUCAGUCACACUGGAACUGAGACACGGUCCAGACUCCUACGGGAGGCAGCAGUGGGGAAUAUUGGACAAUGGGCGAAAGCCUGAUCCAGCAAUGCCGCGUGUGUGAAGAAGGUCUUCGGAUUGUAAAGCACUUUUAGUUGGGAGGAAGGGCAGUAAGUUAAUACCUUGCUGUUUUGACGUUACCAACAGAAUAAGCACCGGCUAACUUCGUG